AUUGAACGCUGGCGGCAUGCUUUACACAUGCAAGUCGAACGGCAGCGCGGGCUUCGGCCUGGCGGCGAGUGGCGAACGGGUGAGUAAUACAUCGGAACGUGCCCAGUAGUGGGGGAUAGCUCGGCGAAAGCCGGAUUAAUACCGCAUACGGCCUGAGGGUGAAAGCGGGGGAUCUUCGGACCUCGCGCUAUUGGAGCGGCCGAUGGCAGAUUAGCUAGUUGGUGGGGUAAAGGCCUACCAAGGCGACGAUCUGUAGCUGGUCUGAGAGGACGACCAGCCACACUGGGACUGAGACACGGCCCAGACUCCUACGGGAGGCAGCAGUGGGGAAUUUUGGACAAUGGGCGAAAGCCUGAUCCAGCAAUGCCGCGUGUGUGAUGAAGGCCUUCGGGUUGUAAAGCACUUUUGGCGGGAACGAAGAGGACUGUGCCAAUACCACGGUUCGAUGACGGUACCCGCAGAAUAAGCACCGGCUAACUACGUG
rnacentral:rRNA from 1 species